rnacentral:rRNA from 1 species
CCUACGUGCGGCAGCAGUGGGGAAUAUUGCACAAUGGGGGGAACCCUGAUGCAGCGACGCCGCGUGAGUGAAGAAGUAUUUCGGUAUGUAAAGCUCUAUCAGCAGGGAAGAAGAUGACGGUACCUGACUAAGAAGCCCCGGCUAACUACGUGCCAGCAGCCGCGGUAAUACGUAGGGGGCAAGCGUUAUCCGGAUUUACUGGGUGUAAAGGGAGCGUAGACGGCAGGGCAAGUCUGGAGUGAAAGCCCGGGGCCCAACCCCGGGACUGCUUUGGAAACUGCCAUGCUAGAGUGCUGGAGAGGUAAGCGGAAUUCCUAGUGUAGCGGUGAAAGGCGUAGAUAUUAGGAGGAACACCAGUGGCGAAGGCGGCUUACUGGACAGUAACGGACGUUGAGGCUCGAAAGCGUGGGGAGCAAACAGGAUGAGAUACACCAGUAGUC